rnacentral:rRNA from 1 species
UGGGGAAUAUUGCACAAUGGGCGCAAGCCUGAUGCAGCAACGCCGCGUGCGGGAAGAAGGCCCUAGGGUUGUAAACCGCUUUCAGCAGGGAAGAAAAUGACGGUACCUGCAGAAGAAGGUGCGGCCAACUACGUGCCAGCAGCCGCGGUGACACGUAGGCACCAAGCGUUGUCCGGAUUUAUUGGGCGUAAAGAGCUCGUAGGCGGUUCAGUAAGUCGGGUGUGAAAACUCUGGGCUCAACCCAGAGAGGCCACCCGAUACUGCUGUGACUUGAGUACGGUAGGGGAGCGGGGAAUUCCUGGUGUAGCGGUGAAAUGUGCAGAUAUCAGGAGGAACACCAGUGGCGAAGGCGCCGCUCUGGGCCGUAACUGACGCUGAGGAGCGAAAGCAUGGGUAGCAAA